AUGGUAACAGAAACAGAAGUUGAUUCAUCGAUCUGAUUCAUUGGCUAUCUAUUAAAAUUAUAUUGAUAGAUUAGUUAAUAGAAAUUUUAAUGAGAAAACAAUUAAAAAAAUUUAUAUUGUUAAAGUUAAAUUUCAGGCGCAAUUAGGCAUAGAAAAUGAAGACAUUUUUAUUAAAUAGAAAAUAUAUGUACUUUUAUUAAGUAGAAAAUGUCUAAAUUUACUUUUUAUAAAAUUAUUAUAAUUUUUCAUAU
rnacentral:misc_RNA from 1 species